rnacentral:rRNA from 1 species
CAUUUUACGAGGUGCUGCAUGGUGUCGUCAGCUCGUGCCGUGAGGUGUCGGGUUAAGUCCCAUAACGAGCGCAACCCCACCUUUACGUUGCCAUCAGGUAAUGCUGGGGACGUCUAAAGGAACUGCCUACGCAAGUAGUGAGGAAGGCGGGGAUGACGUCAAAUCAGCACGGCCCUUACGUCCAGGGCUACACACGUGCUACAAUGGCCGAUACAGAGGGCAGCUACCUGGUGACAGGAUGCAAAUCUCCAAAGUCGGUCUCAGUUCGGAUCGGAGUCUGCAACCCGACUCCGUGAAGUUGGAUUCGCUAGUAAUCGCGCAUCAGCCAUGGCGCGGUGAAUACGUUCCCGGGCCUU